AAGUUAUUGGAUCAUGAAAACGGACGUAACCGAAUUCCUUCAGUGUAAUUUUAUGAUCAGAGUGUGGCAUCAGCGACCUGUAUUUGCAAAUCUAGCACACGUGGGAUAUUGUACACAUGAGUAACACGAAUGUCAUUUCUAGACCGUUUGACUGAUAUCUUUAUGCUUAACAAAUUCUGUCCAUUUAGGCAUCCUUGUACACGACUCCUCUAUCCAGGAGUUAUAGUGUGGGAGUGGCGGUCAACACUUUGUCUCGAGCUGGUAGAAAAGUGCACUAAAAGAAAAACAAAGAACCGUACUAUCCACUAUCAUUUUUUGUUGUCCACAAGCGUCGGGUGAUAAAGAAAUGCAUUUUGAUGGCGAACAUUGAAUUCAGCACUUCCGCUCAUCAUAUAGAUAGUUAUCCUCGAAUUUAAAUUUGGCGCCGAAGAUGCUGAAUUCUACCCUUCCCUCUCCCCUCCGAUAACUGUUGAGGCUGUGCUAAGGAAAGGAUAAGUGUAUGCGCAAGUUUCUGUCAACUGAAUAUCAAUAACCAGGAAGAAUUAAUUAGGUGUCUAUAUUUCCCCAGAUAGGAUGGCGCAAUAAUGAGGAGCAACUUCUACCAACGCUGAAGCAUAUCUUUAUAUAUAAAGUUUCGUUUUGUUCUUAGUCCUUGGACAGCCCUUUCCUCUACAUAAGUUUGAAGUCCCAUAUUCAUGAGUAACUUUUCCGCUACAUAUAAGCACAGUUUUAUUGACAUACCUUGAACAACCGGCCAGCCUUAUCUGAUCACUUUACCUUGGACUGACCUUAAUGUCUUCACUUGAAAUCGAUAAAGUUUAAUCUACUUACCAACCACAAGCUACUGCGGAUCUAACUCCAAUAUAUCUUACUUUUUAGGCGUUGCGUAUGAAUAAAAACAUUAAUUUGAUUGAAAACGAUGAUUUAAAUACCUAUAUGUGCCCACUUUGGCCUUUUUGUACUAACAGGCACAGUGAUGCGGCCUGCAGCCUGUCAGGGUCGAACCAUGGGUUUGGUAUGAAUAUUAUAAGUCUCUGGUUAUUGCUUAGAACGUUUUCACCUAAAAUGGAUAAACAAAGCCGAAAGAGGAGUGGAGUUUGAUCUGUACUGAGGUUCUGUUGAAAUCACUCAAGUAUAUCAGCGUUUGAUGAUGUCAGCUUUAGAAUUAUAAAAACGGCAUCGUAAAGGAAAAAAUGUUCAAGGCUGCGACGUCAUUUGGUUUCGAAAUAGAGACGAACUCCUAUCUCAUCUACCAGUAAGAACGCCUUAUCGUAGUUUUGCUCUUCACACAAACUGUUGGCUGUAGCAUAAUCGUAUAGCAAUAAUGUACGUUAAAAACGGAAUACUGUUGACGCGGUGUUUGUCGAAUACGUAUAUAAUAUUUGAUAAUCAUAAUAAUAAUAAUAGUAAUAUUAAUAUAUUUAGCCAAGUAAAUAUCAAAUCAAACCCUAAAUAUAGUAGUGCCAACCAAAUGAAAUGGGUAAUUUUAAACUUGAGAUUUAUUCGCGUAAGUGUCACAUAUAUAGAGACGUAUACUGCCGCGAAUUGGCACUUUUCCCUACUUUUAGCCCUUCGAAAUGAAACCUUUUCAUAGACGGGGCAUAGUCAUUGAGUCAGCAGAAACGCUUCACUCGCAUCAUUGUUUCAUCAAAGACAACAGAACCGCAUUAUUGUAGAGUUUAUCCUUGUGCUAUAGAUUAUGCACGGAGAUACGCGAUUUCGGUAGAGCUUGCUUUCGUCUGAGCAUUUCUACAUACUAGUUGCGAUUCUGUCUCGAGCAUGAAUCGAUGGCAAACAGGUUCCAUCUUCCCCCUAAAACAUAAUGGUAACUUGUAGUGCAAAAUGUUACUGUUGAUGUGAACGACCACAAAAGAUUUCGUGCAUUCGAUCCUCUUUUCAAUAGUCCGGCACAAAGCGAACCGCAGAAAGCGUUAAACGCCAAGCUGAAAACCGCCCACCACCGUUCGUAUUUUUUGGCCGAUUUUCUGUGCCUUCUUUCAUUAGGCCGUACGAUGUGCACUUGUUUUUUGCCAAUAAAAUACGAUUUGUGCUUCCCUCUGCUGCUAUAGGGCGACUCUGAGCCCAUGAAAGUAACUAGUAUUUAAAAAAAGGUUUAUAAAUUGGAUAAAUGAAGAGACGCGAACUUCUCUAGGACGCUAAUGAUCAUAAACGCAGUCGUGAGAUUUUUUAUAUUUAUUCACUGUAAGCACUGAGCUUAAAACAGCUGUUCGUGGAUAUUAACUAAAUAAUAGAAUAAUAUAAAAACGACACGGUUUCGGUAGACGGUUUCUGGGGGAAAAAUGCAUAUUGUGGGAAUACACAUCUGUGCGAGUUAUGUAUGUGGGCUAUGCCACAGGCCUUCAUCGUGGUGCGGCUAUGUACAGAUUAUAUUAAUGCGUCACUGCUCGCAAAGGCACGGGGCCAAGGCACGUAGACGUAAGGUGGCAUCCCCCUUGAAAAAGCCAUUGGAUCAUUUGGGAGUUCAGUCAUGGGGCAAAUACUCCGAGCUAUCAUGCAUAUUAUCUAAGUAACGGAACAGACGUUGCUUGCGAGUGACUGUAGACGUCUAGCGUCAACAUCGUUGUGAAGUUCUAGUAAAUCUCUCUUUACUGGAAACGUGGAUUGAGAAAGCAUACACGAUGUGUGCGCGCACAGUCGCCAAGCGCGUAAUACAAACUAAGGUUGAUGAUAAUUGUGAUACUUCUAAUACAAGUCAGUUUAACAUAUCGCGUGCUCAAGUACUGCUAGCACUAUUAUGAUCAAUUCAUAGCAAUUUACAUCGUUCAUUUUCUAUAUGGUGUUGUAAAUAAGUACAACGAAAAAAAAAGACAGGUUUCACCAGCCAUUUAUGCUCAAUCCAACCAAAUAUUCUAAAGGACAAAGGAGAAAUAUAACGAACGUUUAUAACUUGAAGAAAUAACUACAGGAAGUGACCGCAUUGAAGGUAUCGGCCGAAUCUGAUCCAGGCACCUUAAGUUACUUCCGAGCGACUUUUGCGUGGACACCCGCCGUGUCACAGAAGCCUGGACGGCUACCUGUUCUACCAAAACAGAAGUUACGCUUCAACAAUAACAACUAUAGCUAGAAGCGAAUAGAAAUUACACCAGAAACGACCUCAAAUAGUAACAAUAAUAAAUAACAACAGUAAUAAUAAUAAAAAUAUAGCUGUAUACGUUUUCUACUGUAGUGACUACAGACGGUGCCGGUGUUAUCUCCGCUAAAUGCUGGUCGACGAUGCUACUCGUUACGUUUAUACAUAAAAUGAUUAAUAACAGUUAGUAGGAAUAGCUCCAGUU